rnacentral:rRNA from 1 species
UACGUAGGGUGCAAGCGUUAAUCGGAAUUACUGGGCGUAAAGCGUGCGCAGGCGGUUUCGCAAGUCAGAUGUGAAAUCCCCGGGCUCAACCUGGGAACUGCAUUUGAAACUACGAGGCUAGAGUGUGUCAGAGGGGGGUGGAAUUCCACGUGUAGCAGUGAAAUGCGUAGAGAUGUGGAGGAACACCAAUGGCGAAGGCAGCCCCCUGGGAUGACACUGACGCUCAUGCACGAAAGCGUGGGGAGCAAACAGG